GGAGUGAGUGAGCUGCUCCAGCUCUCCACUCUGCACGUGUGCCUGAUGUGCUCAUCAAUCUUCGGUGUGGCCUCCGGUGUACAGUACCUCAGUGACAGGAGCUGCCCCCCCCCGGGGGGGGGGUUGUUAAGAGGCUCAGAGCGAGGUUGCAAAGGAAUAAAAACACAGCAGUGUCAGAGAAACUGGAAACCAAUGAGUGGUAUAUGAGAGGAUACCAGUGCACAGUUUGAAAACAUGUUCACCAUUCCAGUGCCUAUGCCAACAAGCACUGUCUGUGACUGGUGGGACCCUGGGGAGAGAAGAGACCAAUCCAACCCAGAAAUUUUUUUCAACAGAAAAGCUGGAGAAAUAGAGCACCAUACAGAGAAAAGAAUGAAGCAGUCUGGAAAGCUCAACCUGGCUCCCAGGUUUCUGCAGGCACAAGGUGAGUCAGGAGAGGGUUGGCAGGUCCAGGGAGAAACAACAGGCCAGGCCAGCAGUGCUAGCCCCAAGAAAAGCCCAUUACUUGUGGGGUUUCACUCAGAAAGUGACUCCUUCUGCAUGGCAGGCUAGAGUUGAAAAAGAAAUACCGGGCAGCACCCGCCAUAUUUGAGAAGGUUUAAUCAAGAGCCAUUUUGAGAAGGGAUUAAUUGUUUAAGACUAAGCCACAGAACAACUUCACUUCAGGGUUUCUGGUGUUACCCAACCAUACUGAUUUGAGGAGAGAUGGCUACAAGAGACAGUUACAGAGUGGGUAUAGGUGAGACAUACACCCCUUGGGAAGUUUAAGCUCAGGCUGGGAAGAACACUGGGCUCCCUGUCCUCCAUGAUGAGAAGCCAGGCCUAAUGUGUGUGGCCUUCAGAAGCAGGUGGAUCUAAAAGUGCUGGCAUUAGUCAAGUGGUCUGUUAGAACCCCCACCCCACUGCCUACAUCUAGCACACAUUAUCAGUGGUCUGAUUGUUUUCUGCAUCUACCAACAGAAUAAGGAUGUGGCUUGGAUGGUAGCCACAGCCUAGGGUGUAUGGAGAGAGGAGUUUCCAGAGCAUAGGGGGCACUUCACAA